UGGUACAAGUCAGCUGCUGGCGCAGAGCCUCCGCCACGCAGACCGAGGUGGUCCGAUCAUCUCACCGGAUGGGUGGUGUCUCGUUAAGGCGUCGCAGUGUUUUCUUCUGUCUUGCUUUCGGUUUGCCUGUGGAGACGGGGAAGUGGGGCGGGUGCCCAGUUGCCUCCGCAUCCGCUUCCAGUGCAGCUGUACGCGGCGCGCACGCCGCGCUCUGCCACUGGCUGACUGCUCUCUCAGUGGAACGGUUCAGGUUAAACACCUCGAGACAUGGCUGCAAACGUCACGCCCGGAGCUUGCGAGGGCAUCAACAUCAACUUUACGCACGCCUUUCUGCCGCCCGUCUUCGUCACCGUGUUCGUCGUCGGGACGCUGUCCAACAUCUGGGGGCUGCGCAGCGUGUACAACAGCUGGAGCAAAAUCGGGAGCAUCAACGUCUUCAUGUUCAACCUCGGCGUGGCGGACCUUCUGUACCUGUCCACCUUGCCCUUCCUCAUGCACUACUACGCGCGCAGCAGCCGCUGGACGUUCGGCCAGACGUUCUGCAAGGUGACGCGCUUCUGCUUCAACCUCAACCUGUACGGCAGCAUCGGCUUCCUCACCUGCAUCAGCGUGUACAGGUACCUGGGCAUCGUGCACCCCAUGUGGGUGAUGGGCAAGAUCACCAGCCGCCACUCGCUGGCCGUCAGCGCGCUGGUCUGGCUGCUCGUCUUCAUCCAGAUCCUGCCCGACAUGUUCUUCGACAAGAACAGCCCGGGGUCACCGGACUCGUGUUACGACACCACGUCGGACGAGCUGAUCCGCGUCUACCUGCCGUACAGCGUCGGCUGGGCCGUCACGGGCUUCGCCGUGCCGCUGGUCGUCAUCCUGGUCUGCUACGGUCACGUGGUCGUGGUCCUCGCCACGAAGGCCAACGUGAACCCCUUGCUGAAGCAGAGGUGCCUGAGGCUGGUGGCGAUCCUGCUGAUCCUCUUCUCCGUGUGCUUCGUGCCGUACCACGUGUUUCGGAACCUCAACCUGAAGACCAGGAUCAUGAAACGGAGCGGCGUCUGCGACGCGAGCUUCGACGACAUCUACGUCGCGCACCAGGUGGGCAGGUGCCUGGCGUGCCUGAACAGCGCCUUGAACCCGCUGAUUUACAUCGUGGGCAACGACGAGUUCCUCGCGAGGCUCCAUCACAUCCGCAGGCGGGCCCGGCUGUCCCUGGCCGGCCUGACGGGUGCCGUCCUGUACCGCAGGCCGAUGGAGGCGGACCCGGACUCGCCAUGCGGGACUCCCGAUGAACGCCAUCGUGCUCAUUCAUUCCUCCCACUUGUUUUGUGAUCCUGUAACUGCAGUCGGGUGAGAAAAACACAGAGCCGCAUGAUGAAUCUGCACAAGCACUUAGAGGAAAGCUCAGCUACACCCGGAGAACAAGGGUUGGAAGAUCAGCGACGCCGCCUUCCUCACGUCGUCCCGCUGCAGCGCCGCUUCCAUUCGUUUACGUAAAGAGUAAAUGAAAGUAUAGUUGUUAUUUCGACUUGUGCCAACAUGUACAUCUGCGUCAAUCCCCAUAAACAGUUGUUCCUGAACCUCAGAUCUUAACUAUUACAACAUGAAAACGCGUGUUCCCUAAGCUUAAAAAAAUAACAAUUUCCACCAGAACCAGAAUCUUCUUCUAAACAGAGACGUUCAAAACUAAAAGCAGACGGUAAUUGUUGACAUCCGAAUGACGUAGGAAUCUGAACACGGGGAAACAUAAGAUGAGUAUUCCUUUGUGGGUGUUUAAAUAUUACAGGUGCUAUUCUUUGGAUUGUUUGCUGUACUUAUUCAAUCUCUCCAGACCAGACGUGGUGCUUGUUGGGGAAGUGGAAAGCGUUUAUUGUCGCUGUCCAGCUGGAACGAAGCGUCCUUUACAAUCAGAGGGGACAUCUACACGGUGGUGAAAGAUAUGACUGAAGCCUGAUGAUAGAUGAUUCAUCCAGAUUAAACUGCACUUCAGGUAUUGUGUUAUAUUCAACUGAAUGUGCCUUUGAAUCAUGUGAAGUGAAAGCAUCACAACACAGCCCACUAGAGAAUGUAUUUUCAACAUAUAUCUGUUUAACAUCAUGAGGGAUUUUCCCCUCACAGUCAACCUGAGUCCUUUCUCAGCAUCUGUCCACCAGAGACCGACCACCGGGCUUUUACAUGGACA